rnacentral:rRNA from 1 species
UACGGGGGGGGCAAGCGUUGUUCGGAAUUACUGGGCGUAAAGGGUUCGUAGGUGGCCAACUAAGUCAGACGUGAAAUCCCUCAGCUUAACUGGGGAACUGCGUCUGAUACUGAUUGGCUUGAGUGCAGGAGAGGAACGCGGAAUUCCAGGUGUAGCGGUGAAAUGCGUAGAUAUCUGGAGGAACACCGAUGGCGAAGGCGGCGUUCUGGACUGCAACUGACACUGAGGAACGAAAGCCAGGGGAGCAAACGGG